UACGUAGGGUGCAAGCGUUGUCCGGAAUUAUUGGGCGUAAAGAGCUUGUAGGCGGUUUGUCGCGUCUGCUGUGAAAUUUCGGGGCUCAACCCCGAACUUGCAGUGGGUACGGGCAGACUAGAGUGUGGUAGGGGAGACUGGAAUUCCUGGUGUAGCGGUGAAAUGCGUAGAUAUCGGAAGGAACACCAGUGGCAGGAAGGGCGGGUCUCUGGACAGUUCCUGACGCUGAGGGCACGAAGGCA
rnacentral:rRNA from 1 species